AUGCAGUUACAGCUCGAGGAUGAAAGGAUAAGAAAGAAGAAGUAUGAAUUCCAGAAGAUAAAGGAAUUGGAACAGCGUCAAAAGGCUGCCUGUGUGCCAAAAAGUGAUGUUGAUGUUGCUCAAGCUCCUAAAUGUGUAGGCGACAAAGGUGGUGACGCGGGUUUUUCAACUGUUCAUGUCGGAUCUCAUGGAAGUGACAUGCCUGUGAAGACAAACUUGAUGCAAACUCAUUUGACGCAAGUGUUUGAUCGUGAUGGAGUUAAGGAGAAGAAAGAUGUUUUGAAGAGGAAGAUGUCAGAUCGAAAUCCUGAUGGCACACAGAGGCGUAGUCCACGUGUGAAAGCUGUUUCCCAACCUGGUAAUAGCAAAGCUGAUGCGAAUAGUUUUGCUGUGAAAAUUGGUCCAAGCAAACUUGGUGGCUUCUCUGUUCGUCAGAGUCCACGAGGUUUGACAAAUAAGAAGCCUUCUUCGUCUCCUCUUCAAGAGCGGUCUUUGUUGAAAGAAAAUAAGAAGCAUAAAUUUCAUCCUGCAAAAGUGAACAAAGGUGUGAAGAAGCAUGCUCGUGUUGAAGCUGAAGAUUCUGCAUCUGAAGAAGAUGAUAUUGAAGUUGAUUCAGAAGAUGAAUUUGCAGUGCCUGUUAGCGUCAUGAGUCCGGUCAAGCCGGUGGGAGGCAAUGCCGGAAAAGUUGCCUUGGAUGAAGGUGAACAACGGAAAUUGAACUUAACUGUGCGAUGUUCGUUGAGAGAGGUUGAAGAUUGUGCUAAAUUGCUCGAGAGUCGGGUGAAGUCUAACAUUUCCCGCCCUCUGAUGGGAGUUUUGUACCUGAGGAUAGAUUGUGAUACAAUGACUCUUGACAUGGGUGAGGCUAAUAAGAAGCUUCGCAUCACUAGCGAUGGUAUACAUCAAUUAUUUGGUUUCCCUCGUGGUGGUCGUCCUGCGCCAAGGCCGUCAGAGGACGGAUAUGAUGAUGCUCUGAUGAAGUUAAGAUCGGAGCUUGACAUUAGCAGGGACAAAGAUAUCAAGACAAAGGAUUUGAGGAAUAAGCUCAAGGUGCUCGUCAAGGAUCCUAGCAAAGAUGACCUUGCUCUGAAAGUGUUCUUCAUUAUUGUGUUUAUGAAGGUUGUGUUGUCUGGAUCUGCCCCGCGUGUUUCCAGAGAGACAACAAUGUUUGAGGUUCUCGUCUUUGAGGACAUGGCUAAUGUGGAUUAUUGCCAACUGAUGGUUGAUGAGCUUAGAAGGGCUAUUGCCAAGUACCAAAGUGGUCAUACCAUGUGGAAGGCAAUCACAGGUUGUGCCAUAGGGCCUGUACUAAUGUACCUUGACUGCCUUAUCCGUGGCAAAACUGCGGAGCCUGACAUGCGAGUCCCCCGCAUAUGUUACAUGGAUCCUGCCAAGCUUUCUGAUCUGGUUGAUGCAGAUUUGAUAAAAAAAAGGCAAUGCAGAUCCAAAGACUUGGGUGUUUGGGAAGCUUCCGUAAUGCUAGUGCUUCACAGAGGCAGGGUUUUGGUAUUGAUGUUCCUGUUUCAGCGUUGGAGCGCGCUGAGCAUAUCUUAA
rnacentral:rRNA from 1 species